ACGGAGGGUGCGAGCGUUAUCCGGAAUUACUGGGUUUAAAGGGUGCGUAGGCGGUUUAAUAAGUCAGAGGUGAAAGGCAGGCGCUUAACGUUUGGACUGCCUUUGAUACUGUUAGACUUGAAUUAGGUUGAGGUUGGCGGAAUGUGACAUGUAGCGGUGAAAUGCAUAGAUAUGUCAUAGAACACCGAUUGCGAAGGCAGCUGACUGGACCUUGAUUGACGCUGAGGCACGAAAGCGUGGGGAGCGAACAGG
rnacentral:rRNA from 1 species